ACAGCCAGUUUAAGACGAGAAAAUGUCGUAAUAUUUAGGUCGCGACCGGCCGCUGCUCAGCCAAUCAGGUGACUUAAGUAGGCCGUGACGUCAUCAAACAACAUGGCGGCGCUCGUAGUAAACAAAUGUGUUUAUUCGGGAUAGAAAGAAAAUCCAGCGGAAACAUUGUAAUUAUGGAAUGUGAAUGCCUUUUGCAUGUUGCCGGGAAUGACGGAGAACACACAGAACCAUUUACUCAAACGAGGUGGGAAACUUUUCGUAGUUUUUGCCGUGUUUGGGCUGAUUUAGCCGGCGAUGAACGGACGAUUGCCGAUAACGCGCUUCCCCUCCUCUCCUUCGAAUUUGAUGAUAUACCAAGCCACAUUGGCUACCACCCGACCUGUUAUCGCCGAUUUACCGACAGGAAGCGAAUAAAUGCUGCCCAGAAACGAAAGCACGAGCCCGUAUCUGAUGAACAGGACAUUAAUAAGUUGCCCUAUAUCCAAUCACCAAAAACGACUGAGAUCAAGAGAAGAGAUCGCCAUCGGAUUUGCCCCUCCUCAACAAGAUAAUCCAAAAGCUGGUCAUAGCCAGCCAAGAAAACAUGUGCUGCCAGCUGUCUGCAUAAUAUGCAAAAUAAGAGAGAAGUUUGAGACUGUCAGGAAUUCUCGCCAGAGGGUGAAACUUGUCAAGGCAGAGACUGUUGAUGGUGGAUUGUUGCGAAAAGCAGCAGAAGCAAAGAAGGAUGAGAGUGUGCUUGUACACAUAAGAGAUAAGGACUGUGUAGCUCUUGAGGUCUACUACCACAGAACCUGCUAUGGAUCAUGCACCAAAUUCUUGACAAGAUCUAAAUCAGAAAGUCAGACACCAGAUGGAAGAUUGUCUGAAGGUUCCAA